UUUAGGAAAAUAAAUCAAACGAGAUUCUAUGAUUAGUGUGAAUGAAAAUAGAAAAGCCUAUUUUAAAGAUAUAUUGUAUUAUAUAUCUUUAUAUUAAAAAAGUAAAACGGGCAUAACCUCCAGUUUGAAUACGUCAAAUAAUUGUCUAAUAAAAUUAUUUGACAAAGGGGAACCUUCCUCUAAGGCUAAAUAUAAUAUAUAAGCGAUAGCGUAUAGUACUGUGAAGGAAAGGUUUGAAUUAGUAGCUUAUAAGCAGCUAAUGCUUUAUUUAAUUAAAAAGUGAUAGCGUACCUUUUGCAUAAUGGGUCAGUAAGUUAAUAUUAGAUGCGAGCAUCAGUGCCCAGAUAAACCAAUUAUGAAUUAAUGAAUUAGUAUCUAAAAUUAGACCCGAAGGCUAGUGAUCUUACCAUAGUCAGGAUUAUAAAAGUCCGAACGGGUUAUCGUUGUAUAGAUAUCCGAGGAACUGUGGUAAGUAAAGUGAAAAGACAACACUGACUAGUAUAGCUGGUUUUCUGCGAAACCUAUAAAAGUAGGUAAUUUAAGUAACAUCAUAGCAGGUACAGAACUGUGUUCUCAGGCAACUUUUAAGAUAGAAAUUUCUAUUUUAUAUUUUGCAUAUAUCGGGCAAUCGUGAAGAUUUUAUCGGUGAGUAAUCGCACUCGGAAUGGUUAUGAUCUUUAUUAAAUAAUCGGACAUAGUACGCUAAGGUUGUGUGUCUAAAGGGAAACAGCCCAGAACAAGAGUAAAGGUUCCCAAAUUAUUGUUAAGUGAAAUUAAGGAUGUUUAGUUAAAAUACGGCCAGGAAAUUGGCUUAGAAGCGGUCCAUUUUUUGAAGAUCUCGUAACAGAGCACUGGUUUAGUAUAUUAUUUACAUUAAUUUGAGCACCGAAGAUUUAACGGAUCUAAACAAUAUACCGACACCCUUGUCCAUAAAAAUAUAAUAUUUAAUGGGGUAGCAGAACGUUGGGUAAACAUUUAUUGUUUUUAAUAAUAAAUAUAUGAUAACCCAAGUGAUAAUGCUGACAUGAGUAACGAAAAAGGGGAUAUACCCUCGCCUAAAGCUUAUGGUAUUUUAAAAUAAGUAACGGCCUCUAAGUUUACCAACCUAAAGGAUUAAACGAUGAGAAAAUCUUUUAGUUCAUUAGUAACAACCUUCCUUCUUAUAAGAAAAGUUGAGGGAGGUUCUGGAAAAACCGUGACCUAUCUUUAAGAUAAAAACCGUACCUAAAUACCACCGACGGUAAGCUAGUAGAGAAUACGAAGGCGUUUGAGUGAACAAUCCUUAAGGAACUCGGCAAACUAACUACCGUAACUUCGGAAUAAGGAGUGCCAUUCCUCUUCAUUAAUAUGAGGUAAAGAAUAGGAAGCAUGGAAUAGUGUUGUACGACUGUUUAAUUAAAACAAAGCACUCCGCAAUAAGAUAAUAAAUCAAAGUAUUGAGUGUGAUUUCUGCCCGAUGUCGGCCGGUUAACGGAUUUUCUAAGUUGACUAAUAUAAGCUUGGUUUUGAUGGAAACCCCGAUCAAUGGCGGCCUUACCUAUGAGGGUCCUAAGGUAGCGGAAUACCUUGGCCGUUAAAUGCGGUCUUGCAUGAAUGAUUUAACGAUACAACAGCUGUCUCAAGGAUUGGCUCAGUGAAAUUGGAAUAACUGUGCAGAUACAGUUUACCUCUAGAUAGACGAGAAGACCCUAUGCAGCUUUACUGUUUGUAGUUAUUGGAUACAAUGGAACAAGUUGUAGCGUAUAAGGUAGUUGAUAAGAUACAAUUGAAACACCUUUACUUAGUUUAUUGUAUAAGCAAUGCAACUGCCGAGAAGAAGAAGGAAGAUUUUUGUUUGCCUUUUGUUAAUAGGUAUUUGUGUAGUAUUAGUAAAGACCACAUUAGCAAUCACAUCAAAUGAUCACUAGUGUGGUUUUAGUAUAGAUGACUAUGAUAAGCUUUCCACCCGAAGUAUCAGUAUUAUAGGCGUUUAUACGUGCUUAUACCACGAGCACCGAUUUGACAACCUAGUAAUGGUCAAGCUACAAUUAAGGACCAAUGGUUGUGGGUAAAGGUUGAGAAGUUGCAAAGCUAAUCCUAUAAAGAUAUAAUAAAUAUGUUUGGAAACAUUGGCUAUUAGACAGUUUAUGCGGGGCACAGAUCCCACAAAAAGUACCUGGGUGUAUCCAAAGUUAAUUUUGUAAUUUGGUUAUAAUUUCGUUAUAACAAAUCUAUAAGGGUCUAGCUGCCUAAAUAUGAGCCAGCCGUCGAAGCUAAGGGCUAACCCUCUUUAGGUUUUUUUAGUUUGUUAUUAGAGAUAGCUCUUCUUAGAACUAUUACCAAUCCACCUAUAUAUCUAUUGAG
rnacentral:rRNA from 1 species